AGCGCAGGCGGUUGGAAUAGUCUGAUGUGAAAGCCCACGGCUUAACCGUGGAAGGUCAUUGGAAACUGUCCAACUUGAAUGCAGAAGAGGUAAGUGGAAUUCCAAGUGUAGCGGUGAAAUGCGUAGAUAUUUGGAGGAACACCAGUGGCGAAGGCGACUUACUGGUCUGUAAUUGACGCUGAGGCUCGAAAGCGUGGGUAGCAAACAGGAUUAGAUACCCCCGUA
rnacentral:rRNA from 1 species